GAUGAACGCUGACAGCAUGCUUAACACAUGCAAGUCAACUGUGGCGGACGGGUGAGUAACGCGUAAAGAACUUGCCUCACAGAUCGGGACAACAUUCGGAAACGAAUGCUAAUACCUGAUAAUGUGAGAGAGCUUUGCGUCCCAUUAGCUAGUUGGAGAGGUAACGGCUCACCAAGGCGAGGAUGGGUAGCCGGCCUGAGAGGGUGAUCGGCCACAAGGGGACUGGGACACGGCCCUUACUCCUUCGGGGGGAAGCAGUGGGGAAUAGUGGACAAUGGACCAAAGUCUGAUCAAGCUAUUCUGUGUGCACGAUGAAGUUUUCGGAAUGUAAAGUGCUUUCAGUUAGGAAGCGGUACCAACAGAAGAAGCGACGGCUAAAUACGUGCCAGCAGCCGCGGUAAUAC
rnacentral:rRNA from 1 species